AUUGGAUUCUUAAAGCCAUUACUCUGAUUUUUCUUCCUUGUUGGAAUCCUUACUAACUGCUAACUAAUUAGAGUUGAUCUAAUCUUACAAGAAGAUGUUUUGGGCAGAACCUGAAACAAGGUACUAAGUAGAAGUAAUUAAUACAAGGCUUGUGUUCACACCUUUACUCAUUGGAGUUCAAUGAGAUCACACCUCCCUUGAAGCUCUUUGGGAGCAUAAAUAGAGCUUCAAUGGGCCAGUCAGGGAAGUUCUUCAGAGUGAAAAAGCUACAAGUCGGGAUUUCAGCGGAGUUACGCCAGAAGCCCUCUCUCCGUGGCAAGUUGGUGGCUGGGCUCCCCAGAAGGAGAGAAGAGAGAUCUUCCAUCUCUGUCUUGGUUAGAGGCAGAAGAAAGCAGAGGCAGAGGCUGAAGGACAGAACCUUUGGAUUUGGAGACAUCCGAAGGGCUCUAAGCCUCUAAACUGGCUGUGCUCUGAGAAGAACAAACUCCAACAUUUGAACUCUUAACAUUUGGCGCCCAACUGUAAAAGACAGAACCCCACAUUUGAACUCCCAACAUUUUGGCGCCCAACGUGGGGCUAACAGACCCCCCUCAGUGGAUUUCAGUGGAAAAGCUACGAUCCUGAUUCAAGUGGAAAAGCCUCUGAUCCUGAUCCAGUGGAAAAGACUCUUCAACCCAGAAAUUAGGCAGCUGCCUGUGUAUCCUACUGUAAGUCAUGAUGAAGUAAAUUGGAGCUCUAAAAACAGAUGUACUGAAGUGCUUCAAGAAGAUCACAACCCCAGUCAUCAGGAUCUCCAAAUACUCAAGGGUCACUAUAAAAGGCCAUAGAAUGGGAAUAGAAGACAAGAGGUAGGUUUUGUUUUUAUUUUGGUUGUUGAUAGUUGCUUAUUGAGAAUUGACUGGACAGAGUACAUUCUACAAAAACAUCAGUGUGGUUCACGUAAAAGUUGGCAAUUAUAUGAUUGCCAUAAAGAUAAUGCUAUAAAGAUGUGUCAAAUGUUUUAUAUAUAUAUAUUUCAUUCUUAUUCUUACAACCAAUUUAUGAGGUAUUUUCUUCAAAGGAUCUUAUACCCAUUUCAUAACUGAGUCUCAGAAAGUCUAAAUAAUAUAUAUAUAUAUAUAUAGUUUUAUAUCUAGUAAAAGCAGGGGGCAGGAUAUCAGGACUUUCCAAUAUAUUAGGCAGCUUCUUAAUAAUGACCAAUAAUGUAUAUGAGGAUCUUAUCAAAUUAUGGAUGUACCUAGAAGCCUCAGAUUCUAUACAAGAUUCUAGUCAAGUCCAAUGUAGUAGUAGUGGUGGUAGUAGAAACAGAAGUGGUAGUAGUAAUAGGUGUAACAGCAGCAACAAUAAUAAUCAUCAUCAUGACAACAACAAUUAGCAUUUAUAUAAUGUUUAUUAUGUGUCAGGCCCUGUGCUAAGUGCUCUAAAAAUAUUAUUUUAUUUGAUCCUGACAACAAUCCUGAUGGAAGAUAGGUGCUAUUAUUAUUCCCAUUUUAUAAUUGAGAAAAUAGAGGCAAAUUGCAGUUAAGUGAUUUGCGUAAAUCUGAAGCCAUAUUUAAGCUCAAGUUUUCUUAGUACUGGUACCAAAAAAAAAAAAAAAAAAAAAGGAAAUGGAAUGUGAAAGAAACUGAGAGCUAAUCAAUACUGUGAAAUACAGUUUCAUUGUCCAUGAUUCUAAGUGUUGCAAUAAUCAUUUACCUGAGCAAAAAUAGUGUAUGGUACUUUAUAUGAGAAUGAUGUUUUUGAAAAUAAUUAGUAAGACAUGUGCUUUGAAUUGUUUUUACAAAAGGGGGCUUGAGUUUAUGCAGAUCUUUCCACAUUUCCUGUCCAGGUUCCCUAGUGACCAAUGGUUUUUUUGUUGUUGUUCAAUCAUUUCAGCUGUGUCUGACUCUUCAUGAUCCCCUUUGGACUUUCCUUGCCAAAAGUUACUAGAGUAGCUUGUCAUUUUCUUCUCCAGUUCAUUUCACAUAAGAGGAAACUGAGACAAACAGGGUUAAAUGACUUCCCCAGGAUCACACAGCUAGUAACAUUGGUACAAAAUGUUUGAUUUGACAGUUAGUCGAUGAAUCAACGUGUUUUAAUUCUUCCCUACCUUCACUCUCUCCUGUACAAAGUUAGUCCAGUCCAGGUACUGAAUGUAUAACAUUAGUCUCUAAAAAUGAAAGUUGAAAGUGAUCUCAGAAUUCCAACUUGGCCACCAACUUGCAAUGUGAUGUUAGGUAAGUUCCAUUAGUGGUUUUAAGAUUCAGUUUAUUCUUCUGUUCAAAGAGGAUAAAAAUAUCUGUAUCAACUCCCCUCAGAAAUGUUUUAAGGAUCAAAAGAUCUAUUAAUUGUAAAAAGUCUUUGGAAAGUGUAGAAACAAAGACUUAUAACUUCAAGUAAAGAAAGGACAGUUUGUUUUUCUUUUGGGAAAAUAAAAAUUUGAUGUUUAAAUAUUUAGCUAAUAUCCUUAUUAAUUAUAUUUCAAUCUCCUUAUGAAGAUGGAGUUUUCUAGAUUUCACUUACAUCAGGGUUCACUAGAAAAAAAGGUCAGGGGUUUCCAUAUAAUAUUGUGAUGAACUUCUAUCUUCUUUCUUUUUUUUCCCCUAUCACUUCUCUAGUUGAAGAAAAAAAUAUUGUUCCAGCCUUAAUUUUUCUUUUUUUUCUUUUCUUUUUCUAAAAGUAAUAGUUCCCUAUCUUUAAAACACAUGCAAAGAUAGCCCUCAACACCCACCCCUGCAAAACUAUGUGCUUCAAACUUUUCUUCUCCCUUCCCUGAAUCCCCUCCCCAUGAUAGCAAUUUUAAACAUGUGCAACUCUUCCGUACAUACCCUCACAUCCACCAUACUGUGCAAGAAAAACCAGAUCUAAAAGGAAAAAAAUAUGAGAAAAAACAACGAAAAAAAAAAAAAGAUGAAAAUACUAUACUGUGAUCCACACCCAGUUCCCAUACUUCUUCCCCUGGUCUAAGAUGACUCUUUCUAUCACAAGUCCACUAAAAUUCAGCCUCAAUUUUUUCUAAAGGUAUUCAGGAUCUGUCUUUUAUAUCACUUCAUCCAACUGGGAAAAUAUGGUACAUCCUAUUGUUCUCCAUUUAUGUUCUCUCUAGAGGAGCAACUUUCAUGAAACAUGGCCCUUGUUUUGGCCAGACAUACACAUCAGUGACUACACAAUUACUUUGCUUUUUUCUUACUAGGAUUUCUUUGUCUUCCUAAACUACCCAUCAGGAAACAGAUACUUCAAAUGAUUCUUUGCUCUUCUGAAUCAUUUUGAGUCCCAAUCUCUGCACAUUUUUUGGUGGUUAGUUCCAGCUCCAACAUGGAUGAGUGCAAGGACGUGGGCGUAAUUUUUAAAAGUCUUCCCAGCUGAAGAUCUGUAUGACAAAGAAUAUGCUUUGUGACCUCAUUUUGGAGUCUCUUUUCAGGAGCUAAGUUCAAAGUUUACGGAAGUGAAUACUCCUGUCCACAAAUACAAUUAAUAUCCUGAAAUCUGGAAAAUUCAAUUAAACUUUUUGGGCUUCCCUUUGCAUAGGAAAGAAGUAUGAGUUUUUAAUAGUAUUAUGAGAUAAACUAUGUUGAUAUUACAUAAUACUAUACAAAUAUUUUAUAUAUUUCUGAGUUUUAAAACUUUUUUGUGCUAUGACUUCCACAAAAUUCCCCCCAAAAUCUCAUUUAAUUUUCUAUACUAAUAUGGAUCUUAGGCUUAUGUCAAAACCUUGAUGGGGAAAGUCAAGAUAUGGAAAAGAUAGCUGUAGUUGAGAUUUGGAUAAAGCUGAGUGACUUCCUACUUUUUCUCUAUGGCAUGUCCCCUUAUUUGUAAAAUGAAAGGGUUGCAAUAGAGUCCUAAGUCCAAUUCUGUUCUAUAUCAAUGAUUCUGUACAACCAGUUUUAUUGAGUAGAUUUAGGUGGCUUGAGUCAGUGUUAUGUUAGAAAGAUUGAUAUUCUAAAUUUAGAUUCUAAAUUAGAUUAGCAUUUAUUAGCUUUGCAACUUUGAGCACCUCACUUAAUAAGAAACUAAACUCCAGUUUUCUCAUCUGCAAAAUAACUAUAAUAUUUAUAUCUAUAUUUAUUUGUCUACACAAAUCAAACACAGAAGACUCAUUAAGUUUAUAAACUCAUUGUAAAUAAACAUAUUCUUUGAUAUAUAUGUCUUUUUAAUCAUUCUGUCUCUUCCUGUUUUUUUAUCUUUUUCAAUCAAAAAAUGGCAGUCACUAUGUUGGGCACUGAGUACUGGUAUUGGCACAUAAAUAUAAAGAAUGAAAUGAUCCCUACUUUCAAUCAGAUUAUCUUCUAAAGGAGGAGAUGAGUACAUAUAAAAUAUAUAUGGCAUGAAGUUAAUAAACACAAAUAUAUCUAUACAUAACUAGCAGUUUAAUACAAAGUAGCUUGGGAGGGAGGACAGUAUAAUUUGGAGGAUUCAGGAAAGGUGUUAUGAAGAAAAUGGUGCCUGAGAUGUGCCUUAAAAAAAAGAAAAAAGGAUGCUAUGAGACAGAGAUAGAGAAGGAGUGCAGUCCAGGCAUAAGGGAUGACCAGUACAAAAACAAAAGAGACAGUUUUCUUUGAAAUGUUUUCUUUGCAUUCACCCUGGGAUUGUUAAAAGAGUACAAUGAGACAGUGUCUGUGAAAAUGUUUUGU